CGGCAGGUGAGCCAGAACUUCUUUUGUCCUCGAGCUGCAACUAAAGGUCGACCAUUUUGAUCGUCUGCUAUACGGUUACGAAUCAAGAAGUGCGUGGUUCAGAAGGAAAGCCAAUCAAUAAUUGAUUAGCACACCAAAACUGGACAUCCACAGCAACAUCAGACCUACAGGUGAGAGCACAAAACAUAACGAAUCAUUCACAACUGAACACCAAUUUCUGGAAUUCAGGCUUUCCCACUCACCAUCCGCCAAAGAAAAUACCGACACGCGUGGCAUCGGCGAUCGCCUCGAUUACCGGGCAUUGGUCGGUUUCAACCUGUGUAGCAGAACGUACCGGCGCCAAAAGUAACAAUUAAAUAGUGCUCGGUGCAAAGAUUGCCAGAGAGGCCAGUGGAUACCAGCGAGCGACCCAAUCGUGGGUAGAAGCGGAUUUUGAAUUAGCAUCGUUGGCAGAAGAAGGAGCCCCGACUAAGGGGCUUCUUUUACAGAUCGAAUUUUGUGCCUGGAUCCCAUUAGUCGCUGGCGAUUCGCGGUGACGUUUGUGUACGAGUACUGUCGACGAGUGAACCGGAGAAGCUCCUACCGCGUGUGCAGUGUGUGUCGGCACGAAAUAGAUCGGACUGCUGGCUGUGGGAGCGCUUGGUGUCGAUUGAUCGUGUGAGGCGGCCACGCAUGCAAGGAGGCCGAACGAUGGCUGAGAAGACGAUGACCAUGCAGUCCGCCAAGCGUCGGUCCAGCGGCAAUCAACAAGAGUGAUGCGGCGAACGUGAGUCCGUGCUAAUAGAUUAAGAUUUGAAACCAAACAGAGUAGGGUUUAGAGCAGGGGAAGCAUGAAGAGGACUUCAAUAUAAUGUGUUGACAUUUGAGACAUUUGUUUUUUAUUUGGUUGUGCCUUUAGCCUUCAGUGUUUGUGA